rnacentral:rRNA from 1 species
GCUUGGCCCUAAACCUCAGUAGUUAGAUAACAAAACUACUCGCCAGAAUACUACAAGCUAUAGCUUAAAACUCAAAGGACUUGACGGUGCUUUACACCCCCUAGAGGAGCCUGUUCCGUAAUCGAUAAACCCCGAUCCACCCCACCCUCUCUUGCUCAGCCUAUAUACCGCCAUCUUCAGCAAACCCUAAUGAGGGUCACAAAGUGAGCGCAAAUGCCAUUGCCGCAAACACGUUAGGUCAAGGUGUAGCCUAUGAGACGGUAAAAAAUGGGCUACAUUUUCUACCUCAGAAAAUUCCACGAAAACCCUUAUGAAAUUUAAGGGUCCAAGGAGGAUUUAGCAGUAAAUUAAGAAUAGAGUGCUUAAUUGAGCCAGGCCAUAAAGCGCGC